rnacentral:miRNA from 1 species
UAUCACAGCCAUCUUGACGAAU